AGCUGAUGCACAUGGCGGUUUUCUCCUCCCAGUACCGCCGCACCAGCUGUUCCCCUCUGGAGGUUUUGACCUUCACACCUUAUGGGCCGCGGUUUCCGCUGGCCCUUUUUU
rnacentral:sRNA from 1 species